GAUGAACGCUGGCGGCGUGCCUAAUACAUGCAAGUCGAGCGAACGGACGAGAAGCUUGCUUUUCUGAUGUUAGCGGCGGACGGGUGAGUAACACGUGGAUAACCUACCUAUAAGACUGGGAUAACUUCGGGAAACCGGAGCUAAUACCGGAUAAUAUUUUGAACCGCAUGGUUCAAAAGUGAAAGACGGUCUUGCUGUCACUUAUAGAUGGAUCCGCGCUGCAUUAGCUAGUUGGUAAGGUAACGGCUUACCAAGGCAACGAUGCAUAGCCGACCUGAGAGGGUGAUCGGCCACACUGGAACUGAGACACGGUCCAGACUCCUACGGGAGGCAGCAGUAGGGAAUCUUCCGCAAUGGGCGAAAGCCUGACGGAGCAACGCCGCGUGAGUGAUGAAGGUCUUCGGAUCGUAAAACUCUGUUAUUAGGGAAGAACAUAUGUGUAAGUAACUGUGCACAUCUUGACGGUACCUAAUCAGAAAGCCACGGCUAACUACGUGCCAGCAGCCGCGGUAAUACGUAGGUGGCAAGCGUUAUCCCGGAUUAUUGGGCGUAAAGCGCGCGUAGGCGGUUUUUUAAGUCUGAUGUGAAAGCCCACGGCUCAACCGUGGAGGGUCAUUGGAAACUGGAAAACUUGAGUGCAGAAGAGGAAAGUGGAAUUCCAUGUGUAGCGGUGAAAUGCGCAGAGAUGUGGAGGAACACCAGUGGCGAAGGCGACUUUCUGGUCUGUAACUGACGCUGAUGUGCGAAAGCGUGGGGAUCAAACAGGAUUAGAUACCCUGGUAGUCCACGCCGUAAACGAUGAGUGCUAAGUGUUAGGGGGUUUCCGCCCCUUAGUGCUGCAGCUAACGCAUUAAGCACUCCGCCUGGGGAGUACGACCGCAAGGUUGAAACUCAAAGGAAUUGACGGGGGCCCGCACAAGCGGUGGAGCAUGUGGUUUAAUUCGAAGCAACGCGAAGAACCUUACCAAAUCUUGACAUCCUUUGACAACUCUAGAGAUAGAGCCUUCCCCUUCGGGGGACAAAGUGACAGGUGGUGCAUGGUUGUCGUCAGCUCGUGUCGUGAGAUGUUGGGUUAAGUCCCGCAACGAGCGCAACCCUUAAGCUUAGUUGCCAUCAUUAAGUUGGGCACUCUAAGUUGACUGCCGGUGACAAACCGGAGGAAGGUGGGGAUGACGUCAAAUCAUCAUGCCCCUUAUGAUUUGGGCUACACACGUGCUACAAUGGACAAUACAAAGGGCAGCGAAACCGCGAGGUCAAGCAAAUCCCAUAAAGUUGUUCUCAGUUCGGAUUGUAGUCUGCAACUCGACUACAUGAAGCUGGAAUCGCUAGUAAUCGUAGAUCAGCAUGCUACGGUGAAUACGUUCCCGGGUCU
rnacentral:rRNA from 1 species